GAAGCGACGCAUGCGCCCGCCG
rnacentral:snRNA from 1 species